AAUCAACGCUGGCGGCGUGCCUCAGACAUGCAAGUCGAACGAUUAAAGCUCUCUUCGGAGAGUGCAUAAAGUGGCGCACGGGUGAGUAACACGUAAGUAAUCUACCUUCGAGUGGGGAAUAACGUCCGGAAACGGACGCUAAUACCGCAUAAUGCAGCGGCAUCGCAAGAUGACAGUUGUUAAAGAUUUAUCGCUUGGAGAGGAGCUUGCGGCAGAUUAGCUAGUUGGUAAGGUAAUGGCUUACCAAGGCUACGAUCUGUAACCGCUCUAAGAGGACGGUCGGUCACACUGACACUGAAUAACGGGUCAGACUCCUACGGGAGGCAGCAGUCGGGAAUUUUGGGCAAUGGGCGAAAGCCUGACCCAGCAACGCCGCGUGAAGGAUGAAGUAUUUCGGUAU
rnacentral:rRNA from 1 species